rnacentral:rRNA from 1 species
UUGCCCUUUACGGCUCAGUAACACGUAGUCAACAUGCCCAGGGGACGUGGAUAACCUCGGGAAACUGAGGAUAAACCGCGAUAGGCCAAAGUUUCUGGAAUGGACCUUGGCUGAAACCUAUAUGGCCCCUGGAUUGGACUGCGGCCGAUCAGGCUGUUGGUGAGGUAAUGGCCCACCAAACCUGUAACCGGUACGGGCUCUGAGAGGAGGAGCCCGGAGAUGGGCACUGAGACAAGGGCCCAGGCCCUAUGGGGCGCAGCAGGCGCGAAACCUCUGCAAUAGGCGAAAGCUUGACAGGGUUACUCUGAGUGAUGCCCGUUAAGGGUAUCUUUUGGCACCUCUAAAAAUGGUGCAGAAUAAGGGGUGGGCAAGUCUGGUGUCAGCCGCCGCGGUAAUACCAGCACCCCGAGUGGUCGGGACGAUUAUUGGGCCUAAAGCAUCCGUAGCCGGUUCUGCAAGUCUUCCGUUAAAUCCACCUGCUCAACAGAUGGGCUGCGGAGGAUACUACAGGGCUAGGAGGCGGGAGAGGCAAGCGGUACUCAGUGGGUAGGGGUAAAAUCCUCUGAUCCACUGAAGACCACCAGUGGCGAAGGCGGCUUGCCAGAACGCGCUCGACGGUGAGGGAUGAAAGCUGGGGGAGCAAACCGGAUUAGACACCCGGGUAGUCCCAGCUGUAAACGAUGCAGACUCGGUGAUGGGUUGGCUUUGUGCCAACCCAGUGCCGCAGGGAAGCCGUUAAGUCUGCCGCCUGGGGAGUACGGUCGCAAGACUGAAACUUAAAGGAAUUGGCGGGGGAGCAC